GUUUUGUUAGUAUAUCCCUAGUAUAUUUGUUUUCCAAACAAAAGGUUUAGUAAAAAAUUAAAUAAAAUA
rnacentral:tRNA from 1 species